ACCCGCUGAACUUAAGCAUAUCAAUAAGCGGAGGAAAAGAAACUAACAAGGAUUCCCCUAGUAACGGCGAGUGAAGCGGGAAGAGCUCAAAUUUAAAAUCUGGCGGUUACACCGUCCGAGUUGUAGUCUAGAGAAGCAUCAUCUACGCUGGACCAUGUACAAGUCUCUUGGAACAGAGCGUCAUAGAGGGUGAGAAUCCCGUCCUUGACAUGGACUCCCAGUGUUCUGUGUUGUGCUCUCAACGAGUCGAGUUGUUUGGGAAUGCAGCUCAAAAUGGGUGGUAAAUUCCAUCUAAAGCUAAAUAUUGGCGAGAGACCGAUAGCGAACAAGUACCGUGAGGGAAAGAUGAAAAGCACUUUGGAGAGAGAGUUAAACAGUACGUGAAAUUGUUGAAAUGGAAACGCUUGAAGUCAGUCGCGUUCUCUGGGAUUCAGCCUUGCUCUUGCUUGGUGCAUUUCCUAGUCUACGGGCCAGCAUGGGUUUCGACCGUCAGAAAAGGGCUGGGGGAAUGUGGCACCCUCGGGUGUGUUAUAGCCCCCUGUCGCAUGUGUCGGUUGGGAUCGAGGACCUCAGUGCACGCUUCGGUUGUGCUUUGAUGCUGGCGUAAUGGCUUU
rnacentral:rRNA from 1 species